rnacentral:pre_miRNA from 1 species
AACUUUCCGAAUCCGCACAGAGAUUUCGUCAGAUACCAACCCAUUUGUGCUGAUCAAACUUCCAAGAUUAAUGAAAUU